rnacentral:rRNA from 1 species
UUAAGAUACUAAGAGCAUACGGUGGAUGCCUUGGCGAUAUCUGCCGACGAAGGACGUGACAAGCUGCGAAAAGCUGCGGAGAGAUGCAAAUAAUCGGCGACCCGCAGACAUCCGAAUGGAGCAAUCCGGCUGUGAUGAUGCACAGCCAUCCAUGCCCAAGAGCAUGAGAAGGGAACCGGGCGAACUGAAACAUCUAAGUAACCCGAGGAAAAGAAAUCAAACGAGAUACCCCAAGUAGCGGCGAGCGAACAGGGAAGAAGCCCAAACCGGUGAAGGAAACUUUACCGGGGUUGAGGACCAUCAGACCCGCGAAGAACCUUAGCCGAAACUGUUGGGAAACAGUGCCGAAGACAGUGAAAGCCUGGUAGGCGAAAAAGAGAAACGCGGAGAUGGCACCAGAGUACCGCGGGACACGAGAAAUCCCGUGGGAAGCCGGGGGGACCACCCUCCAAGGCAAAACACAGAUAUCGACCGAUAGCGCAUAGUACCAUGAGGGAAAGGUGAAAAGCACCCCGGGAGGGGAAUGAAAGAGAACCUGAAACCGUAUGUUUACAAGCAGUCGGAGACCGCUUAAUAAUAAGGUCGACGGCGUGCCUAUUGAAGAAUGAACCGGCGAGUUACGAAGCCUGGCAAGGUUAAGCAGGAAAUGCGGAGCCGAAGCGAAAGCGAGUCUUAAGAGGGCGCAAGUCAGGAAGCGUAGACCCGAAACCACAGUGAUCUACCCAUGUCCAGGUUGAAACACAGGUAAAAAUGUGUGGAGGACCGAACCUAUAUCCGUUGAAAAGGGUUAGGAUGAGGUGUGGGUAGGGGUGAAAUUCCAAUCGAACGUGGAGAUAGCUGGUUCUCCCCGAAAUAGCUUUAGGGCUAGCCUCAGGGAAAAGAUUGCAGGCGGUAGAGCACUGAUCAGGAGAGGGACCUACCCGGUUACCAAACCCAGUCAAACUCCGAAUGGCUGCAAUCAUACCUGGGAGUCAGACUGCGACUAAUAAGGGCCGCAGUCAAAAGGGAAACAGCCCAGACCAUCAGCUAAGGUCCCUAAUGCCGUGCUAAGUGGCAAAGGAUGUGGCAUUUCAUAAACAACCAGGAUGUUGGCUCAGAAGCAGCCACCAUUUAAAGAGUGCGUAAUAGCUCACUGGUCGAGAGACGCUGCGCCGAAAAUGUCCGGGGCUCAAGCACGGAACCGAAGCUAUGGCAUGAUAGCAAUAUCAUGGGUAGGGGAGCGUUCUUAUAAGGAAGAAGCAUGACCGGAAGGACAUGUGGACAAAUAAGAAGUGAGAAUGCCGGUAUGAGUAUCGAAAAGAAAGGUGAGAAUCCUUUCCACCGAAAGCCCGAGGGUUCCUGAGCAACGAUCGUCGACUCAGGGUAAGUCGGGACCUAAGCCGAGGCGAAAAGCGUAGGCGAUGGACAACAGGUUGAAAUUCCUGUACCGGAUCAAGUCGAUUGAGCGAAGGAGCGACGCAGGAGGGCACAUGAUCGCGCGGCUGGAAGAGCGCGUCCAAGUGCGUAUGUUGCAGCAGAGGAAAACCCCUGCGGCUGAAAGCAGAGACAUGAUGGGGAGUUAAAGGAAACUUUGACGAACUCAUGAAUCCCACACUGCCAAGAAAAACUUCUAGCGAGACAAGAUCCGCCCGUACCGUAAACCGACACAGGUAGGCGGGGAGAGAAUCCUAAGGUGCGCGGGAAAACCCUCGUUAAGGAACUCGGCAAAUUGCAUCCGUAACCUAGGGAGAAGGAUGGCCCCCGGUCAGUGAAGAGCAGAAACGCUCAGAGCUAAAAGGGGCGGCAGAAAAGAGGCCCAAGCAACUGUUUACCAAAAACACAGGUGCCUGCGAAAGCGAAAGCUGAAGUAUAGGUGCUGACGCCUGCCCGGUGCCGGAAGGUUAAGGAGAGAAGUUAGCGAAAGCGAAGCAUCGAACUGAAGCCCCGGUGAACGGCGGCCGUAACUAUAACGGUCCUAAGGUAGCGAAAUUCCUUGUCGGGUAAG